GAUGAACGCUAGCGACAGGCCUAACACAUGCAAGUCGAGGGGCAGCACGGUGUAGCAAUACACGGGUGGCGACCGGCGCACGGGUGAGUAACGCGUAUGCAACCUGCCUACUACAAGGGGAUAACCCGUUGAAAGACGGACUAAUACCCUAUAACACAGGGAAUACGCAUGGAUAUAUGUGUUAAAGAUUUAUCGGUAGUCACUGGGCAUGCGUUCCAUUAGCUUGUUGGUGAGGUAACGGCUCACCAAGGCAAAGAUGGAUAGGGGAACUGAGAGGUUGAUCCCCCACACUGGAACUGAGACACGGUCCAGACUCCUACGGGAGGCAGCAGUGAGUAAUAUUGGUCAAUGGACGAGAGUCUGAACCAGCCAAGUCGCGUGAAGGAAGAUGGCCCUACGGGUUGUAAACUUCUUUUGUAAGGGAAUAAAUAGUCUUACGCGCUAAGACGUUGCAGGUACCUUACGAAUAAGGAUCGGCUAACUCCGUGCCAGCCGCCGCCGUAA
rnacentral:rRNA from 1 species